UGCAUAAAUCGCAUAAACUUUAAUGUACAUAAAAAGUGAAGAGAAGAUUAGCAUAGCCCCUGAGAAAGGAUGACACGCAAAUCCGUGAAGCGCUCCAUAUUUUU